ACGCUGACAGAAUGCUUAACACAUGCAAGUCUACUUGAACUUCGGUUUGGGUGGCGGACGGGUGAGUAACGCGUAAAGAACUUGCCUCACAGUUAGGGACAACAUUUGGAAACGAAUGCUAAUACCUGAUAUUAUGAUUUUAGGGCAUCCUAAGAUUAUGAAAGCUAUAUGCGCUGUGAGAGAGCUUUGCGUCCCAUUAGCUAGUUGGAGAGGUAACGGCUCACCAAGGCGAUGAUGGGUAGCCGGCCUGAGAGGGUGAACGGCCACAAGGGGACUGAGACACGGCCCUUACUCCUACGGGAGGCAGCAGUGGGGAAUAUUGGACAAUGGACCAAAAGUCUGAUCCAGCAAUUCUGUGUGCACGAUGACGUUUUUCGGAAUGUAAAGUGCUUUCAGUUGGGAAGAAAAAAAUGACGGUACCAACAGAAGAAGUGACGGCUAAAUACGUGCCAGCAGCCGCGGUAAUACGUAUGUCACAAGCGUUAUCCGGAUUUAUUGGGCGUAAAGCGCGUCUAGGUGGUUAUGUAAGUCUGAUGUGAAAAUGCAGGGCUCAACUCUGUAUUGCGUUGGAAACUGCAUGACUAGAGUACUGGAGAGGUAAGCGGAACUACAAGUGUAGAGGUGAAAUUCGUAGAUAUUUGUAGGAAUGCCGAUGGGGAAGCCAGCUUACUGGACAGAUACUGACGCUAAAGCGCGAAAGCGUGGGUAGCAAACAGGAUUAGAUACCCUGGUAGUCCACGCCGUAAACGAUGAUUACUAGGUGUUGGGGGUCGAACCUCAGCGCCCAAGCUAACGCGAUAAGUAAUCCGCCUGGGGAGUACGUAC
rnacentral:rRNA from 1 species